UUUCAAUUUGAAAGACGAUUGGUGUUAGACGUGUCAAAAAAAUAUUUUAUACGAAGAGAAAAAAAAUAUUCGAAGAUUUAAUUGAAUAAUUUUUAAGGAUAUAAAAGAAUCACAUACCACAUCAACUUAUUUUAAAAUUUCGGACGACGAAAUUAAUUUUUCAACUAAUUUUUAUUUUCCUGUUGUUUGGAUCGCCGAUUCCUCUGUGAAUCGGCGCUGUCCACGAACAAAAGAAGAGGAAAACUCCAAUCUCAAAUUAUCUGUAUUGGUCCCAAAUUUCCUUAGCCAUCAAUCCCCUAAUUAUUAUAUAAUCGGUCCCAAAGACCAAUUGAUGCCUUUUAAAGGCGGAUAUUGAGAUUUUUGAUUCUACUAAUAUCAAGACCGGAGUCUUCUAAUCAAUGGUUUGAUUAGAGCUCAAAGAACCCAAAAUUGAUCUAAAACCCUGACUUGUUAAAACAAUACAUCAAAUGCUAGAGUCUUCCCGUCCAUAGCUUUAUUGGAGCCCAAUGGACACAGCAUUUCCCUAUUACCUAAUUGUGUCAAUUAAAGAAUUCUGGGGAUUCUCAUUUUUUUUCAAUUGGAGAUAAAACAAGAAUUAUUUAUAGUAUAUACAUUUAGAUUAUUUCCCCCAUUAUAACAUACAAGACAAUUAUUAAAUUUAUAUGUUACCUUGGUGCACGAGCAAAGCAAAUUUGAUGCCUUAACUUUUAUGACCACCCAGAACUAAAGCAAAGGCCACGUCUGAAGGCCUAAGGACAUCAUGGAUAUUAGCUGCGAAACCGAGCCUAGUUCCAACGGGAAAGAACCGCCCCAGGACUGAGCACGGCCGGCGGCGAGGAGGUAGCGACUCCCAGAGGAAUUAGGGCUCAAGGUGGUGG
rnacentral:sRNA from 1 species